rnacentral:rRNA from 1 species
GAUGAACGCUGGCGGCGUGCCUAAUACAUGCAAGUCGAGCGAACGGACGAGAAGCUUGCUUCUCUGAUGUUAGCGGCGGACGGGUGAGUAACACGUGGAUAACCUACCUAUAAGACUGGGAUAACUUCGGGAAACCGGAGCUAAUACCGGAUGAUAUUUUGAACGGCAUGGUUCAAAAGUGAAAGACGGUCUUGCUGUCACUUAUAGAUGGAUCCUGGCUGCAUUAGCUAGGUGGUAAGGUAACGGCUUACCAAGGCAACGAUGCAUAGCCGACCUGAGAGGAUGAUCAGCCACACUGGAACUGAGACACGGUCCAGACUCCUACGGGAGGCAGCAGUAGGGAAUCUUCCGCAAUGGGCGAAAGCCUGACGGAGCAACGCCGCGUGAGUGAUGAAGGUCUUCGGAUCGUAAAGCUCUUUUAUUAGGGAAGAACAUAUGUGUAAGUAACUGUGCACAUCUUGACGGUACCUAAACAAAAAGCCACGGCUAACUACGUG